AUACGGGGGGGGCAAGCGUUGUUCGGAAUUACUGGGCGUAAAGGGCGCGUAGGCGGACCAGACAGUCUCUCGUGAAAUCCCACGGCUCAACCGUGGAACUGCGGGAGAUACCACUGGCCUUGAGUUCGGGAGAGGAGUGUGGAAUUCCCAGUGUAGCGGUGAAAUGCGUAGAUAUUGGGAGGAACACCGGUGGCGAAGGCGGCACUCUGGACCGAUACUGACGCUGAGGCGCGAAAGCUAGGGGAGCAAACGGGAUUAGAAACCCGAGUAGUCC
rnacentral:rRNA from 1 species